rnacentral:rRNA from 1 species
GACGAACGCUGGCGGCGUGCUUAACACAUGCAAGUCGAACGGAAAGGCCCUGCUUGCCGGGUACUCGAGUGGCGAACGGGUGAGUAACACGUGGGUGAUCUGCCCUGCACUUCGGGAUAAGCCUGGGAAACUGGGUCUAAUACCGGAUAGGAGCCAUUUUUAGUGUGAUGGUUGGAAAGUUUUUUCGGUGUAGGAUGAGCUCGCGGCCUAUCAGCUUGUUGGUGGGGUAAUGGCCUACCAAGGCGGCGACGGGUAGCCGGCCUGAGAGGGUGGACGGCCACAUUGGGACUGAGAGACGGCCCAGACUCCUACGGGAGGCAGCAGUGGGGAAUAUUGCACAAGGGGCGCAAGCCUGAUGCAGCGACGCCGCGGGGGGGAUGACGGCCUUCGGGUUGUAAACUCCUUUCGCUAGGGAAGAAGCUUUUUGUGACGGUACCUAGAUAAGAAGCACCGGCUAACUACGUG